rnacentral:rRNA from 1 species
UACGUAGGUGGCAAGCGUUGUCCGGAAUUAUUGGGCGUAAAGCGCGCGCAGGCGGUCCUUUAAGUCUGAUGUGAAAGCCCACGGCUCAACUGGGAGGGUGCGCCGAAGACUGCAGGGCUUGAGUAUGGGAGAGGUAAGCGGAAUUCCUGGUGUAGCGGUGAAAUGCGUAGAUAUCAGGAGGAACACCUGUGGUGUAGACAGCUUACUGGACCAUAACUGACGCUGAGGCACGAAAGCGUGGGUAGCAAACAGG